rnacentral:rRNA from 11 species
UGAUCCUAUCAUAUUGUACUGAAGACACCCAGUCUCAUCUGAUCUUAGAAGCUAAGUAGGACUACGUUUACUUAGUGAUGAAUGGGAGACUUCCAGGAAAUACCAGGGCUUUCAAAGUAAGGCUAGGAAAAA